rnacentral:tRNA from 1 species
GGGCCCGUAGUCGAGUGGCUAAGACGCCUGCCUUACACGCAGGAGACCCGGAGUUCGAUCCUCCGCGGGCCCA